CCUACGGGAGUCAGCAGUGGGGAAUAUUGCACAAUGGGGGAAACCCUGAUGCAGCGACGCCGCGUGAGUGAAGAAGUAACUCGUUAUGUAAAGCUCUAUCAGCAGGGAAGAAAAUGACGGUACCUGAGUAAGAAGCCCCGGCUAACUACGUGCCAGCAGCCGCGGUAAUACGUAGGGGGCAAGCGUACUCCGGAUUUACUGGGGGUAAAGGGAGCGUAGACGGCGGUGCAAGUCUGGAGUGAAAGGCGGGGGCUCAACCCCCGGACUGCUCUGGAAACUGUAAGGCUUGAGUGCAGGAGAGGUAAGUGGAAUUCCUAGUGUAGCGGUGAAAUGCGUAGAUAUUAGGAGGAACACCAGUGGCGAAGGCGGCUUACUGGACUGUAACUGACGUUGAGGCUCGAAAGCGUGGGGAGCAAACAGGAUUAGAUACCCCAGUAGUC
rnacentral:rRNA from 1 species